UACGAACCGAGCGAACGUUGUUCGGAAUCACUGGGCUUAAAGGGCGCGUAGGCGGGCUGCCGCGUCCGGGGUGAAAUCCUCCGGCUUAACCGGGGAACGGCCUCGGAUACGGGCGGCCUCGAGGGGGGUAGGGGCAUGCGGAACUGUGAGUGGAGCGGUGAAAUGCGUUGAUAUUCACAGGAACUCCGGUGGCGAAGGCGGCGUGCUGGACCCCAUCUGACGCUGAGGCGCGAAAGCCAGGGGAGCAAACGGG
rnacentral:rRNA from 1 species